UACGGAGGAUGCAAGCGUUAUCCGGAAUGAUUGGGCGUAAAGCGUCCGCAGGUGGCACCUCAAGUCUGCUGUCAAAGACCGGGGCUUAACUUCGGAAAGGCAGUGGAAACUGAACAGCUAGAGUAUGGUAGGGGCAGAGGGAAUUCCUGGUGUAGCGGUGAAAUGCGUAGAGAUCAGGAAGAACAUCGGUGGCGAAGGCGCUAUGCUGGACCAUAACUGACACUCAGGGACGAAAGCUAGGGGAGCGAAUGGG
rnacentral:rRNA from 1 species